GUUAUGAAAUUAUAAAUGGUGCCCAGAUGAACAACCACACUGAGUACAAAGGAUGGUGUCUGAGAUCACGGAGGUGGGCCUGCUUCAUUUCAUUUGACAGUGGCCUCAGAGUAAGCUUCGUUGAGAUGCUGGACCGUGACACGAAUGUGGCCAUUUCCACUGUCACCAAGCUCCCCUAGGUCUCCAUCAGCUUCAGUGACCUGGGCUCUUUCACUUCUCAGAGAUGCUCAU
rnacentral:lncRNA from 10 species